AACGUAAGCUCUUGAUAGUCACAUUUACAUGGAUAACGGCGGUAAUUCUGGAGCUAAUACAUGCAUCAAUGCCCAACUUCUUGGAAGGGUUGUAUUUAUUAAAUACAUAACCAAUGCUCCUCGGACUUCUUGGAUGAUUCAGAAUAACCUACUGCAGCACACGGGGUCUAACCUCCCUAACUUCUACGAAUUACUGAAGUAUCAUCCUUCGACGGGUAGGUAAUGGGCCACCGAGGCUUUUAGGGGGAUUCGGGAAAUAGGGUUUUAUUCCCGAAAAGGAGCCCUAAAAAAGGCUACCCCCU
rnacentral:rRNA from 1 species